GCACUCUAUCUUGCAUGAUGUUUAGAAGUCAGUGGGGACAGAUGGCAUUUAAAACAGUUACAUGGAGAAAUGCACAACUAUCCACUUGCAAAGGAAGGAAGAGAGGAAUGAGGAAGAGAGUGCUGAGAAGAUCUGGCAGAAGAUGAUCUGUCCAGCUGUAGACCAUCAGAUCUCCUUGUUCAGCCUCUGUUUAAAACCACCUGGGACCAGCAGUGGGGUAGACAAGAAGCUGCAUCUCAGCCAAGACGACCCAGUGGACUGGCAGCCUUGUUGUCCAGAGCUGACCAUCUGCUUGGAUCCAUUUACAUCACAUCAGGCUGGCUCAGUCUUCCCUGCAUCAAAGUGGUGCAGAAGUCAGAUCCUGAAUAGCAAGGAAAGAGCUGAGUAGGACACCCUUGAGACUCAGGCCAACAAUUCACUGAAGGCACAGCAGAGUUCUUUGUGGAUGGCGACACCCACAGUUUUGGCUUCCAGAGAUAAAAUAUCAGAGUGAAAUGAAGGGCUCCAGGAAAUCAAUCUGUCUGGGCUUGGCUGCACAGAACUGGUUUCUGUAGUGCUAUGUGGCUGAGAAAUCUCUGUACUUCCUUAAUACAUGUGAGUCCGUGCCUCAUUUUUCAUUAAAGCUGUCACUUGACAAAUACAAGCUUCAGAGCUGCCAGCCCAGGGCGGCUGGCUGAGAAAGGCCUGUCUGGAAGCAGGAAUCUUGGAAUCCAAGGAAAACCAAAAAUACUAAGGCUGCAUAGAUCUUGCAGCAUAAAUCCACUGUCACACAGCAGGAACCCUGAAUUCUGGGCCCAAUGGCAGUCACUGCUAGGACUGCUUUGAAGGGGAAUAGAAGAGGAAUCAGCACUUACUAAGCACUUACUGAGUACUGGCCACUGGGCUUUAUUAUAUCUACAUACAUUUUCUUACUUAACCCUUAACAUUCCUGAUUUGAUCCUCCCUCAGUGGCUAAGGAAACAGGCUCAGAAACACUGAAAGCUUCGUUCAAAGCCACACAGCUGUGAAAAGACAAUUCUGGGACUUGAGAACAGGCUCUGUCCUUUGGCUCCAAAGCCUGCUUCUGUGCUUUUGGGUAAUUAGGCCAGAAAACAGCAAACACCCUGAGCAGAGGUUGUGCAGCCCUCUAGACAUCUUCAGUCCCAGAGCCUGCUGCAGAAUGAAACUUCCGCGUAAGGAAAUCGAAGUUCUCUGUAGAAAAUGUGCUAUGUCUAACACCAUGAAAUUAUCCUUCGAGUGAACCAAAGCCCCUGGGGAGUCUGUGGUCCUGGUGGGCAGGGUGGAGGGGCUCCCUGAGUGUGAGAUGAAUGUCGGCUUCUCCCACUCAGGCCCCUGGAACCUGUCCUCCCCCACCAGCUUCCCACCCUCCAUGCUGUGCCCUAGGCUCCAAGAUGCCUAGGUUCCCUCCUUGUACACCAAGCCCCACACCUUUCUGGGGAGAGCACUUCACAUAGCCACUGCUAGGACCCCAGCCUAAAGCGCCUGGGUAGGAAGUAAAGCCUUCCCUUCUCCAGAGUCCGGAUCUGUCAGAACUCAAGGCUUAAAUCUCCUCCCCCUCUUCAGCCAAAGUGAAAUGAGGUGUGAAUCAGCUCACAAAGUGAAGUCAUUUCUAGGCUUGGACACAUGCAGGAGUCUAAAGAAAUGAGCUUCUCAAGACCCCAUUGCCACCUCGACACCCGCCUCAGCCCAUAGUGAAAUAAAUACCUACAGCCCUACAGCUUCCCUCACCCCCAACCCCCCCCCCACUCAGGGAACUUGGCCCCUCUCUCGCCUCUCCUCUCUCCUCCCCUCUCCUCUCCUCCCCCUUCCUUCUGCUCCCCUUCUGACUCCCUUCCUCUCCCAGUCGCCCUCUCCCUACUCUCUCCUUCCCUCCCUCUUAUCUCUCCUCCACUUCUUCCCUCUCCUCCUCCUCUUCUCUGUCCCCCUCCCUCCCCUAACCCCCCAGUAUGAUAUAGUCUGGGAACUUAUAGGUUCAUCUAGCGCCAUCCUAUUACAGAAUCUGAAUAAAGAAUAAUACAGAAUCCUGAAAGAGGCUGACUUAGCUAGAAUGUGUCAGUCCCCUAGAUAGUGAGAUGUUUGCCUCCAAGGAUCCAGAGCUUACUCUCACCUCAGCAAGGAGCCUGCAUUUAGUAGGUGCUUGGUAGUGCUGGUACCCAGAAAGUCAGCUGUCUGGCAGCCUUCUCUCUGCAGGAGGUUUUCCCAUGGACAUCUCCUGAUUGAAUGUCACAAAGUGGCCGCCAGGGGUUUGUCUGCCAUCACGUAUGGUCUAGAAAGUGGCAAAGUGUCAGCUGUUUCCAAUCACCUUCCCACCCACCUGCAGGGGCUUGACCUACACUUCCAACCCCUCCAACCUCAGUCACAAUGUAUUGGGUGAAAUAGUAAAGCCAUGUUUCUAUAGCCACCAGGCUUAACCCCUUAGCGUGUAAAUGACUCUGAAAUCCCUCAUCUGACCCCCUCUGGAAGUUUAUCCCACUACCACCACUGCUGCUCCCUGGAAUCUGAAAAGUUGAAAAAUCAGUAUAUAAGGACAUGAAUCAAAGCCUGGUCAGUGAUCCAGUGGACUGCCAGGUCUUCAUCAGCAGUCGCCAGUCCCAUUCCAACUGUGCUAGCAUCUGGACACCUGCACACACCACUGCCCUCAACCCCGGACAGUACAUACAACCCCAUCUUGUACUUCCUCCUUUGGAAGUCAAAAUAGGGUCAUUUUAAUUUUCUAUUCUUUUGUACUUAAAGGCUCAGCUAAAGUGAAAAAUGUCAGCCCCACCUUUCCCUGAGGCCCUCCUUCUCAUAAUAAGUCCUAAACCCCAUGGAUGUAGCCCAAAGCCCAGCCGUGCAGAGAGAGACCUCCAGAAAGCAACAUGGUCCCAACAAGUCUCCUCCACAGCUGCCCAAUUGAGAAUAGACAGCUCCCUGUGCCAGGGUGCAAGGUCCAUAGCUGGUCUGGAAAGAGUUUGUCCAGGUGCAUGAGGCAGAGGAAAGAAGUGGGAUGGACCAGUACAGCAUACAUCCUCCCUGAAGACAUCUUUCCAGAGUGACAGGGCGGCCGGUAGGAGGGUCCCAGCUCCUUCCCACAGUGGCCACUCCUACAUCUCUCUUGAUCUGCCUGGACUGGGUCUCUCGCUCCAGCUCUUCCAAGUCAUGCCCCUAUUUUCCAGUACAAUCUCCAGGGAUGAGGUUGGGACCUCAGAGAGGAAGUUCAGGUCUGGCUGUGUCCUUCCUGCAAGUUGUCCCAAGUUCAAAGAACCCCAAUCCUCAGAUGAUCUUUAUAAGAAGGGCGACCUCCCCCAGGAGGUGCCUGUGGCCAUAUAUAAAAGCCACUACCUCCUCAAUAAAAAUUGUUUUGACUAAGAAAUCUCAGUAUAAAAUAAUUCAAACUUAUUAAAAAAUAUAGAGCCAGGCGCGGUGGCGCACACCUGUGGUCCCAGCACUCGGGAGGCUGAGGCAGAAGGAUCACUAUGAGUUCUAGACCAGCCUGGGCUACAUAGUGAGUUCCAG
ensembl:lincRNA